CAACCCUCAGGCCCCCAGUGCCUGGCGUUGGGGAUCGGCGCGGCGUCCCUCCGGGGGCGCUGCCGGCCCCGAAAUUCAGUGGCGGUCUCGCUGUAGCCCUCCUCCGCGUAGUAGCACAACCUCGCGGCCUGGAGCUCGGCGGUGGCCAUGCCGUAAAACACCCCACUUCUGAA
rnacentral:misc_RNA from 1 species